GAUGAACGCUGGCGGCGUGCCUAAUACAUGCAAGUCGAGCGAACAGACGAGGAGCUUGCUCCUUUGACGUUAGCGGCGGACGGGUGAGUAACACGUGGAUAACCUACCUAUAAGACUGGGAUAACUUCGGGAAACCGGAGCUAAUACCGGAUAACAUGUUGAACCGCAUGGUUCAACAGUGAAAGACGGUCUUGCUGUCACUUAUAGAUGGAUCCGCGCUGCAUUAGCUAGUUGGUAAGGUAACGGCUUACCAAGGCAACGAUGCGUAGCCGACCUGAGAGGGUGAUCGGCCACACUGGAACUGAGACACGGUCCAGACUCCUACGGGAGGCAGCAGUAGGGAAUCUUCCGCAAUGGGCGAAAGCCUGACGGAGCAACGCCGCGUGAGUGAAGAAGGUCUUCGGAUCGUAAAACUCUGUUAUUAGGGAAGAACAAAUGUGUAAGUAACUAUGCACGUCUUGACGGUACCUAAUCAGAAAGCCACGGCUAACUACGUG
rnacentral:rRNA from 1 species